rnacentral:misc_RNA from 1 species
AAACAUGAAUGUGAAUCGGUUAGAUGUACUGGAGGCAGUCAGCGUAGGUGUUAUAUGAGGGAAAAUUUUCAACGUGCUUUGUUGAAGCAGGUACAAGCCGUUGGGUUGGUUAGAGGUGCUAAUUUUAGAAGACGGGCACCACUGGAGAACUUUGGGCGGCCGCGUGGUGCCGGCCCAAGUGUGGAAGCGGCCACGGAGAUGAAGACCCUGCGCAGCACCCCGCGUGAAGUGACGUAUGGCGUGAUCUUCUUGGCCGGCUUGGCCUUAGUGUGCAGCGGGCUGGCCGUAUUUCCGACGUACAGCAGGACUCUAGGACUGGGACUGGUCGUCUGCGGCGUGGUGGUCGUUGUCACUGGAGCGCUCAUUGUGGACUCGUGCGUCACUCAAGUGGGCGCUUCUAGGCAGUGCCGCCCGCCCGCCUACGAGGUGGUCAUGGCGCAUCGCGAAGAUGACGACGGCGGCGCGACGCUGUUCGACGAUCCGCGCCCAGCGUCGACACGACGGCACUGGAGCCUCCCUUCUCCCUGGUGCACUUGCGCUGCACAAAACCAGCGCCUCUUCGAAAUGAGCGGUGUCAACGACCCUCGCGUCGGGCGCAAACUGAGCGCGCAGCUGCCGCGGAGCGACCGCAGUGAGCGGGACCGACUGCAGGGCCGCUUUGUCUACACACUGGAGCUGCCAACUGCCCUCCCACACGGCUCGGCGGCUAACUAUUUGAUCUGGUCGGCCGGCGAGUCGUGGACGCCGGAACGUGAUGCUACCUGCGGGCCGAGCCUCCUGCCAGAUGUUUCCUUCGAUGGAGCCCCGCCCGUGCAUCCUGCCCAUGUAUCGCGCGAUCCCGGCGGCGGAAAGUGCGCGCCGCCUUCGUACGACGCGGUGCUGGCCGCGGACCUCCGUGCAGGCGGCGUCGCGUCUCCCGGCCGCCGAUCUCCGUGUGAUGUCGGCGGCCGGAUGACGCGCGGCCGAUCGUCGGCCCCCGAGCUUCUUCUCGGCUCGCCCCUGUCGACCGGGGCUGCACCCGUGGGCCGCGCAGACCGCUAGUGUGCGGCCCCGGCGUCGCGCAGUGCUGCUGCUCGCGACCAGCGUGGCAGCAGGCACGAGGAACAGCAGCAGCUGUUGUGUCUAUGAAACUAGAGCCUUUCCUUUGCUCUUCAAAACAGCGCGGACGUUUAUCGGCGAGCGCACAGCUGCGCCGCAGUCCCUGUUUGCUCGAGGCAGUGCUGCGCACGAGAUCUCGCCGGUACCAAGCGAAAAUGGAGGCGAACCACAGCUGCGGCGGUCGAGCCGCUGCUCAGCACCGGCGUCCAUGAAGCGCAGCGCCCUUUAUGCGAUCGGGGCCUUCCUCGUGGCCCUGUGUGUGGCCGGCAUCUUCUGCGUCAUCUUCGCCGACAUCACCGUCGGCCUUUUCAUUAUCGGCACAGCGUUUACCGUGGCCCUGCUUUUCGGCAUCGUGUGGAUGGGCCGCGCUUGCUACGGCGGGAUGCCGCGCCGUCCGUCACUCAGUACUUCAGUAGAAGACCCUUGUCAGCCGCCGGCAGACUCCCUCAUGGCCAUCGACAUUCCACCCUACCCCGCGCCAUCGGAGAAGGUGUUCCGAGAGGCGCACAACCAAAGGAGCGACUCAAGGGCAGUGCUCUACAAAAGCAGUGACGGGGCCGUAGUCAUAACAAAGCGGCCGCCCGUUCUCAGUGACUCGGACAAUGACUACAGCGGCGUCCAUCUUUAGGAUGCAGAACUCUUGCUGAAAGCGCGAAAUUUGCCCUGGAUUCCCGGAAAAAUUAAGAAUUUAGGUUCCUGACUG